AAAGAUGCAGAGUGGUACAGGCUGAAAGCGGAGCGGAGAGGACACUGUUUCAAGAUUCCUGCACCAGCUCCUUCGUUGUUAUAGAAGUUGGACUAAAUAAAAGGGUAAUCACAAGCAUACAGAUAACAGGCAGGCAGGAAUGUGAAAAUCAGAGAGAAGAGAGAUGUGCACCAGACGUUGGAGCAAUGUGCUUUGAAGAUGGAGGAAGGGACCAUAAAUGAAGGAAUGAAGACAGCCUGUAGAAGCUGGGAAAGGCAAGGAUGUGGAUUCACUCAAGAGUGUCUAGAAGAAAUGCAACCCCACCAACACCUUGAUUUGAGGACUUCUGACCUUCAGAAUGAGAAAAUGAUACAUUUGUGUUGUAAGCCACCCAGUUUGUGAAAUAUGUAUCAACAAUUGAAAACUAGUACAUAGUCAGAUACUCUAUCUCUGUUUUUUUAGCUUAUUAUUUUCAAUCUCUGUCUCCAACCCACAAGCCACAUGCAUCAUAAAUGAAUUAAAAUACCAAAACUUU
rnacentral:lncRNA from 1 species